AGGGAUACCCAGCGGUGGUCUCCCUUCCACUGCAGGGAAUUCAUCCACACCUGCUGGGCAUCCACAAGAACAAAAGCCUUCAAGGUGGCAAUCUGAGCAUCUGUGGGACACAGCAGCUCCUCUUAGCCCAUGUCUGGUCCACACUCUCCAGCCCUGGCUUAGCUUCCUUCUGCUCCAGCCGAAGGCAGAGCAUCCCAGAGAUCCGCCGGAGGGGGAAGGAGACAAAGAAACCAAUGCAACCCAGUCCUGCAGCUUCAUAUGGAAAAUGGCUUCUGCUUGACUGCUAUCAGAGCCCAAACGCAGCACGAUGUGGCUGCGCAGCGGCCGCCCGAGGCUGGCAGGCGACACCUGAGCGUGCCCACGGAGAUGUGCGGGGACGGGUAAUUGCACAUGCAAAACGUUCGGCUGUGACAGCAAACAGGACAAUUGAGCAGAGGAAUGGGAAUCCAUUUCCAUGCACAAUUACCUGGGGAGGGCUAAACCAUGGCUCCGGGAGGCAACAGAGAUAGGCCCCCCCCUUCUCCCCCUCCCAGAGCCGCCUCCUCUCGGUGCCUGCCUGCUUCCCUGGGGAGCAGGGCAUUUCCAUCCUCCCAGGAACCGGGGGAAGCUGUGCCGAGCUGGAUGAGCCUGGUGCUUAUUACUGGGUUAGUCUGAUUACGGAGCAGACGGCUCAUUGAACAAGCUGUUCUUUGGGGUGGAUUUGCUGGGAAAAGGGGCAGGGAAGGAAGUGAAUAGUCUGAGCCCCUUUGUUUGGGAAGUGGCUGUGAUCAGGCAAGGCUUUUCCACAGCAUCUCUCUUAUUCAGGAAUUGCUGUUCCCAGGUCUUACUGAUGAGCUGGUUCUUAAUAGAGGAGAAUAAAUAAAAGGGCAAGGGGAAAAAAGAAAAAGCCCAGACCUCAUUCUCUUCCCAGGGACUCCUCUUGAGCUGGCAAACAAAAGCCAAGCUGCAUGGCAGGAUGCUCGGAGCUCUGGAGAGGUGGCUGGUGCUGGAGGCAGAUGCAGGUUUCCUGGGGUCUGUGCGGGCCAGGGGCAAGGUCUGGUGCUGGCUCUGCCAAGGGGAGCAGCAGGGGCCAGGCCAUCAGCCAGCUGGCAGCCUGGCUUUGUCCCCACUCCUGCCUGCUGGCUUUACUGCACUACAAUUCCCAGCAGCCUGCAGGAAUUGUACGCCUUUGCCUUGGAAAGCAGCAUCUGAGCAGGUCACAAUAAUGCACUUGGGGGGCAGCAGGCUCAGCACUGACUGAUGGAGGUGGAUGCAGGCAGUGACAAAGCACCAGGGGUUUUUAUGGGCAGGAACAGGGCUUGGGGGCAGUACUGCAGUGGGCAGGGCAGAACUGAGGGCAGGGUGACAGGAUCACCCCUUGCACACACCCACCUCCUUCCAGGAUGAGGGUGAUGCUUUGUUUCACCCUCCAGCAAGAAGGAUCUGCUGCUCUACUGCUUGGACAGGGAGAGGAGAUGGUCCCAGAUGACCCAGAAAAGGCUUCUCCUGGUCCAGUCUGGGGGGCCACCUCUGUGUCCAGGCAGAAGCAAACCCAUCUCUCCAAGGACUCUGAGGGCUUUUGAGUCCUGGAUUCACAUGGGAAAUCCUGGAAGGAGGCAGCCCCUAAGCCCCCUCUGCAUGUGCCUCUAAUUAUCACACCUUCAGCUCCAGGAGCACCAGUUCUACUUUCCCCCAUUCAUAAUUCAGCCUGACACAGCCCAGCAAAAAUCAAUUCACUCUUAUAAGAAAGUGCCAAGGCAAAUUAUUUCCCAAAGCCUUCAACAGGGCUUUCUUCUAUCCCAACAACUGUAUCUUUGGUGUUGAGUCCUAAAUUACAGAUUAACUCUUUAAACUCUUCCAGUUUGCCGGGGAGCACAGCCAGACAGGUGACUAAUGAAGCUCUUGGCAAGAGCACCUUGUCACCUUGCUGGCCAUCCAUUAGAGGAUGGGCCCAUCUAGCUGUUAGUCCAUCAGUUUGUCCUUCCCUAAUUCAUCCCUCCAGACAUGCUAUCAGCUGUACAACCCUUGCCAUAUGACCUUGGCAGGGAAGCAAGUGAAGCAAGGACUGCCUCAAUUCUUAGAGAGGCUGUUCAGGCACUUGGGUCUCUGGAGAUCCCUGUCUGACCUUCCCCAAGGCAGCUUCUGGCCAACAGAGGUUGUUUUUUUUUUUCUUUUUCACAAUGCCCCAGUAAAGUCACCAUAAGGGAAAACCCUGCUUGGCAUCCCUGCUGCCUUGAAAGCCACUUGCCAGUGGCAGGGUCCAGUCCUGAUGUGCCCUGCAGCACCCCAAGUGACAUCCCUGGGAGUAUCCACCAGCUCCUGAGCAGACAUGGCAAGAAAAUACCAGAAUGCUGAAAAGCCUUUAAAUCUGCUCAAAAGGCUUUCUCCAGCCUUAGACCACAAAGGUUAGAAAUCAGAGGGAGCCCAUGAAAGAGCAAAUCUAAUAAAGGGAGUUUUAAUCAGAGCCAAGAGAAGGGGGUGAGAGAAGGGAUCAGAGUUGUAAACUGGCUGAAAAUCAGUCCCUUCGUUAUCACAAACACAUCAUUGGAACUUAAUAGUAUUUGACAUCUCAUUAAUUUAAACCAGGAGUCUGGGGAAUAGAGAGAGAAAAAGAAAGAACAUUAUUAAUUUUAAAGACCUCCUCCUAUAAGGACUCACAUUGAAAAAUAAAAGAAAAAUGUCAGAGGAAGAUUGUUGCUUUAUGUUUUUCCUCACUUUCCUGCCCUGUCUUUUUUCCUAGAGUUUGGAAGAGGUUGAUAGGCAUGGAGAACUCUGGUCAAGGCUUCCCAUGCCUUCCCCAGCCCCAAGGGGGGAAUGUUCAAAGGCCAGCCCAGCUCUGGGCUACCAUGGGGUGGAUGUGGGGGUGGGAUAUGCACAUGGCAUAGCCAGGUGUCCCUAGAGUCACCUGGCUAUAAACCAGCAAGAGCCAUGUGCUGUGAGUAAUUCAUGGGCAGGCUCACACAGCGUCCGUCUGUCCUGCAUCCACCGCUGGGAGAGGAGCUGAGGACCAAAAUAGCCAUCCCCGAAUCCAACAGCGUCCUCAGAGGCUGCGGUGAGGGGAUAUCUGCUCCCUGCUCCCCUGCCAAUGAGCAACGGAAGGCAGAGCUGCCAAAAAUAAAAUUAUUCAGGACACCAUCUCUAUUGUAAGGACAGAUGGAAGGUGCUGGGGCUGUGCUUGAAAAGGCAGAUCUAAAAGGAUGGAAUUAAAGAGACUUUGGAGAAAGAGAGGCUUUCUGCUAAAGCUGAUGUGCUGCUCUGCAGAUAAGGCUCCACAGGUGGAGUGGCAGGCACUCUUUGGAUCUAAUUGGGAAAGGGAAAAACCCACCUUAACUGUCCCCAGAUGCCUUUGGCAGCAGGAAGGUGGCUUCCCUGGCUCCUCCAGCUACCACUGCCAACUUUUUAAAAAGCACUUCUGCAUCUUGGCCUGGUAUUUCAAGAGAAUUCAAUAAUCUUAGGCAAUUAUUUCAAAGGAUUUUUGAAAUUGUCCUAUAUUUUUCCCCUUUCAGUGUGGCUGCACAUCACAAUGGCCGAGAAGGCCCGGCUGCCUGCGGGGUGGCCAAUUUAGCUCCAUGGAUUUUGACUGCUUUCUCAAGUCCCACUAUUGAUUUUCUGCUGGGUCCAACUGAGAAUUCAGCUUAUUAUAAAAAUCACAA
rnacentral:lncRNA from 1 species